rnacentral:misc_RNA from 1 species
GAAAUGCGAUAAGUAAUGCGAAUUGCAGAAUUUCCGUGAGUCAUCGAAUCUUUGAACGCACAUUGCGCCCAUUGGCAUUCCGAUGGGCAUGCCUGUUCGAGCGUCAUUAAUCCUCCCUCAAACCUCGGGUUUGGUGUUGGACCCAAGCUGUGCGGUGCACAACUGGUCUCAAAGACAAUGACGGCGUCCGUGGGACCCUCGAUGCAACGAGCUUCCAGGAGCACGCAUUGAGUCUCAAGGACCUUCUGGCCCGGUCUUUAUUCUUUCUCAGGUUGACCUCGGAUCAGGUAGGAAUACCCGCUGAACUUAAGC